CUUCAAUAAUAAUAAUAACAACAGCAGCAAACAAACCCAUAUAGAGUAUGUGUCUAAACCUGGCACUUCUCUAAAUUCUUUUCAGAUAAUCCCUACAACUUCUGGGAGAGGUGCAAGUAUCAACCAGUUGGAGACACAGGGAAAGGGUGAUAUAAUGCAGAAAGUGACUUGAACAAAUUUACACAGAAGGCAGUGAAGUGUGAUUCAAAUUCAAGCAGUCUAGACUGUGCCCCACACAACUCUGCAGCAUAACCUUGCAGUAUGAAAAUAAUGCCUCUCAUGCAGGUUAUGUCUUCUUCUAUAAGACUACCCACUGCCUCUUCUCAAGUAUAUCUGAAGUAUGGCUGGUUGGAGUAUAUCAGGACCCUCAGAGGAGAAAAGCAUAUAAAACUAGCACACCUGAACCCAGGUAAAUGGAAAGACCCUCAUUAUUAUCUUUACCAAAUAUUGAUACUUUGCAUUAAUUUAGAUUUAACAGACUACUAAGGGCUUUGUCUCCCCACCUAAAUCUCAUCUUAAUCUCAUCUUAAUCCCCAUAAUCCUCAUAAUCUCCACAUGUCAAGGGAGAGACCAGGUGGAGAUAAUUGAAUCAUGGGGGUGGUAUCCCC
rnacentral:lncRNA from 1 species